rnacentral:misc_RNA from 1 species
GAUGAAGAACGUAGCGAAAUGCGAUAAGUAAUGUGAAUUGCAGAAUUCCGUGAAUCAUCGAAUCUUUGAACGCACAUUGCGCCCCCUGGUAUUCCGGGGGGCAUGCCUGUCCGAGCGUCAUUGCAACCUUCAAGCGCGGCUUGUGUGUUGGGUCUCGUCCCCCGUGGACGGGCCCGAAAGGCAGUGGCGGCGUCCCGACAUGGUGCCCGAGCGUAUGGGAAUCCUCUUCCGCUCGAAUCGGCCCAUGCGGCGCUGGUCGUAACCAAAUUUUUUACCGGUUGACCUCGGAUCAGGUAGGGAUACCCGCUGAACUUAAGCAUAUCAAUAGCGGAGGA